CCCACGGGGCCGGGAGGGUGUCGGUAGGCAGAAGAUCGCGGUCUUUCUGGCCGCGCCUUGCGAGCGGGGGGCUGGGGGGUGGAGAGGCUGAGCCGCCCCAGGGGGGAGCGGAGGCCCGGGUCCAGCUGAGGUGUGGGGUGGGCAGCCAUCCCCAGGGUGAGGGUGCACUGCGCUGGCUUGCUGGCGGGCCGCUUUUGCUCCUGCUGGGGGAGGGGUGGGCAGCAAGCCCCGCGCUUCUCCCGCCUUUCCCGGGAGGCGGGAAUUCUUGGUCUUUUGGGAGGAGGGGAGCCGGAGGCGGGAAGUGCGAAGGCCCAGCCCCGAGGGCGAUGCCGUGUCGCAGCGCUUCUGAGGGAGAGCUGGGGGCGGACAAGCCGUAUCCUACGAAGGGUGAACUGCGAUUCCCCUUCCUCCUAGCGCUGUAGGACUGGAGGCGGCACCGGUUCCUUCCUGAGCUGGAGGGCGGGCAGUUGGCACUGCAGGGUGGGCCCCGGAGAGGAAGUGAUUGAGUUGCGUUCCUGCUGCCCCAACCUGACCUCGUUUCCUGUGGAUUUGUUAGAGGCUUCAAGCUUUAGCAAACCUAUCUAAAUCAUUUAAAAGACAUUUUCUUUUUAAAAAGAAACCUGUUGCUGCAGCUGGGAAGUAUUUUGUCUUUAUGCCCAUGUGGGAUGAUGUCCUGGCACCCUUACCUAAGCGAAACGUUACCUCAAGCAGAGAUUUCCAGUCCUGGGUCGUUUUUCUGUCGUGCAGUGUUUACGGCAAAGGGCAUUGCAGAAUUCUCAGAUAAUUUCAGUUCAGUUUGAUUUUGAUUAAACUUUAUGGCCGUUUUAUGGAGUGAUAAAGCCUACUGAGUGCCUUUAGUGCUGUAUGUCUCACAUGUAUUGCAUGUAGGAAAGGUUGGAAAUUAAAGGUCAUUGGGGAAGUCCGGUCUCUUGGAAAUAAUCCUUUCCCUUGGCCAUACCUGUCAGAUCCAGCUUGGUAAUGGUCUUGGCUUUAGAGCCUUGAAAGAGGGAUGUGGGGUUGUGUCUGGUGUUGCAGUUUUCGUGGCCUUAAUAAAAUAAGGCUUUGUGCUUUAAGGCAGUAGGUUUUCUUAGGUACGAUAAAAAUAGAAAGGGAGCCAGUUUCUGAAGUUGCAACCAGGAGGUUAGAGAACAGAGGGAGGGGGUGGUAAACUGAAGUGUGAAGAGGGGGGUGGACAGGUGAGAGAGACAUGGAAGGACAGAAUAGGGUCACAGAAGGGAUGGGGAGCAGAGAAUUAAGAGUUGGACUUGGGAGAUGGUGAAAAUAUUUUUCCUUUAAAAAUAAGGAGAUCCUCAUAUUUCAGAUCACUACAAAGCAAGUGCCAAGAAAGGCAGGUGAUGGUGGAAUGGCAGACAGGGAAGUACUAAGGCUGUCUUGUGGAACUUCACUUUAGAACUUCAGUUUUAUCCGGGAUUAUUUUUCCUCCCUUGCAGAUUUAUUAAAUAUCAACUUUCAUUAGUAUAAGGCUUUUAGGUUUAGAAUGCUUUCAUAAACAUCCCCUCAUUUGAUCCUCAUGAUAAUCUGUGUUUGAAGUUAACAGUGACUAAUUAUCCCCCAUUUUUCAGAAUGGUGUUCUCAUCUGUAUUGAGGUUCAGAGACUUCAAGUGAAAUACAGAGGUCUCUGAAUUUUAGUCCAGUGUCUCACUUCAGUGACCGUUAAUUUGCAGAAUUUGCCUGAUAUUUCAAAUGUCCAUACGGCCUCAUCUUUAACCAAUUUAUUGUGACAGUGUGGUUGACAAGAUGCUGGGUUAAAUUAGAAGGGAUUAGAGCAUACUGAAUAAUUUCUUAACAAGCAGGGACCAGGGGAAGUUUCCUAUCAGUUUAACAAUCUUUUCCUACCAUUACUGUGCUUAUCUUAAGACUGACUGACUCUUCAGGGGUCAGGGAGAUGAUGAUGGUGGGGUAAAAUAAUAACCAGCCACUACUAAUUUAACUUUUACGUUGUGCCUGUAGUAUGCUAAGUACUUUGAUGUUCAUGAUCUCAUUAAUUCUUGCAACAGCCUUAUGAGGUAGGUACUGUGAUGGUCCCUAUUUUACAAGGGAGGACAUUUGAAACUUCAGAAUAUAAUCAUUGUAUCUUUCCCCACUGACUUCUUAAUUUUAAAAUGUUUUUAUUAUUAAAUAUUUCAAGCAUAUGAAAAUUAUAGUUAUACCAUGUAACAAUAACGAAUACUGUUAUACCCACCACCUAGCUUUAUUGUUUUAGGUCUUUUCUUAUUAAUGUUUUUUAAAGAAAUAAAACAUUACAGAUAGAAUUGAACCUACUCACACCCCCUUGCCAUUCCUCUUCCCUCCCCACCACCAGAGGUAGUCACUAUCCUGAACUUGGUGUUCCUUAUUUCUAUUUAAUGAUGUAUAUAUAUGUAUCCAUACACAAUUUAUGUUAUUGUUUAACAAAUAAAUUGUAAGAAAAAAAAGAUGGGAAUCUGUAGAUUAAAAAACUCACAAGACCUAUCAGCCGAUUGCAAUAUAUGGCCUUUAUUUGGAUACUGUUUUUUUUUAUCUUAAAAAAUAUGACAUUUAUAAAAUAGCUGGAAAUAUGAACUGGAUAUUUUAUGAUGAGGAAUUCUUGUUAUUUACAGAUGAAAUGAUGUGAUUCCUGGGACUUGCUUCAAAAUAAUCUGGUAAAGGGGGAAGUGGAUGGGGCAAGGUUAGCUAUGGGUCGAUAGUUGUUGGAGCUGUGUGAUGCAUAUGUGGGAAUUCAUUAUACUAUUACGCUGUUUUUGUAUAUGUUUUAAAUUAUAAUAAAAAGUAUUUUUUAAAAUGAGGAAAUAAAAUUGUGAAGAGAAUGAUUUGUGAAAGUUAAAUGUUAUAUGUAUAUGGUAUUCUGCAUGCUUUUGCUCCUAGACCUAUUGGAACAUUCUAUGAGAGAAGCUCAGAAGAGCCAGCUCUGUGCCUGUGGAUGUCAUGUGGCAUAGGAAUUGAUGCUUUCAGUGGUUAUGAAGAAUAGUGGUCCUUUGUGUGCACAGUAAAGUUUGCAAGUAGUGAUGUUUUUCUUCCAAUGAGGUUUGGCCACAUUCACAGUUAUUUCUCAUGUUAUUCCAUUCCACUUAGAAAAUCAAGGGAAGCCUGUGCAAAAUAAGGUGGCUUAAAUUAUUUUUGCCAAGGGACCAAAAGCCCUCUUUGAUGUCUGCAUCCUUCGUAGUAUAUUAGAGAGUGUACUGAAUGUAGAAGGCUCUGCCAUUUGCUUACUGAUCCAGGGCAAGUCUAUCACAAGGGUGGUAGAAAAAAACAAGAAAAAACAUUGUCUUUGGAAUUAGACUUGGGUUUGGAUCCUUGUUCUAGCAUAUUAGCUCUGUAUACUUGGUAUACUAAAUGCCUCUGAACUUUAGUUUCCCAAAAGUGAAAAUGUAUUGAACUCUUCAUUUGAUUAAGCAAGUGCUUGGACUAGACCUUUUGUUUGUUUGUUUCAUUUUUCUUUUUGGCGGCACCAUGCUGCAUUUGGGAUCCCGUGCCCCCUGCAGUGGAAGUGCAGAAUCAUAACCACUGGACUGCCUGGGAACUCCCAGGACUAGACCUUUUGGAAAGAGUUGGAGAGUGGGGGUGGUGGCUCAGAAAGAGCUUCUCUCGGAAAUGUGGCUGCUUAACCCCGGUGCCUGUGAUACUUGUGCUUGACACCCACAAACUUCGUUAAGUAAAAGAAAAAUUUUUCCAAAAGUAAACUUUUUUCUUACUGCUGCCUAAAGAAAUAACUUCACUCUAUAAUAUAACCCAGUCACUGGGCAGAGAAAUUACUUUUCAUAGAGACACCUGCUUCAGUGCCUAGAACUGUCUCCCAAUUGCUGAAAUAUUGGUAAAAUAAGAUAAAAAGCCAUGGCAACUCUUAAGUUUAAUUAUAACAGCUUAGUUUCUUUGAUAAGAUCUGUGUUAUAGAGUUAUAUUGAGGGGUUAGAGUUGUAAAAUGUGUCUCACAGUGCGUAGUUUAUAACAGGUGCUUAAUAUUUCUUCCCUUUUUGUCCCAUCUCAUCUCUAAGAUGGACAAGCCUUUUUCUUUAACUUGUUUUUCCCCCAGUUUUUUUGAGAUAUAAUUGCCAUAUAACAUUGUAUUAGUUUAAGUUAUACAACGUGAUUUGAUAUAUGUACAUAAUGCAAGAUGGUUGCCACAAUAAGUUUAGUUAACAUACAUUACCUCACACAGGAAUUUUUUUUCUAAUGAUGAGAACUUUUAAGAUCUCUCUUAGCAACUUUAAAAUAAAAAAUACACUAUUGUUAACUAUAGUCACCAUGCUAUACAUUACAUAGGUCCCUUCUAAUUCUAAAAUUCUAUAAUCCUUCCCAUUUCCUUCUAACUUUCUCUAGUACUUCCCCCCACCCCGCUCCACCCUGCUGUGCUGCGCCCCGCCCCGCGGCUUGUUGUAUCUUAGUUUCCCGACCAGGGAUUGAAACUGGGCCUUAGGCAGUGAGAGUAUGGAGUCCUAACCACUGGACCACCAGGGAAUUCCCUCUUUCUAUAGUACGUUAUUGUCCAUAGCAUUUUGUAUUUUCUCAUAUUGGUACGUAACUUUCAGUGUUGUCUCUGUAGGAAGAUUAUACAUUCCUUGAGGGUGGAAAUCAUAUCUUUAUUUCUUAGAAAACUUAUAGAGACAAAUUAUCUAGCUCAGUGCUGUGUGAGGAUAGUAGCUCAGAAAAUGUUUCCUGAAAGAGUGCAUGAACCAAAACUAAAAUUCAGGGAGGGAAGUGGGGUGGGGAGAAUUCACAGUUAAAAGGCUACAAGAAUUUUCCAAAUUAUUGAGUUUGGUGAUUAAGUGUUUCUUAUAGCUUCUUAGCUGUUGACAUGUGAUAUGUAAAUAUCAGCUUUCUAUCACCUUUGCCAUCUAGAAAAUAAUUAGAGAUUAGGUCCGUCAUUAGCUAUUUAAGAACUAGGUUUUAAUUAUACAAGUAAUAUAUAAAUAUUCAAGUAAAAAAGUAAAAUACUAAAGUCUCCCCUUGUCCUCUCAGGAUUCCCCCGCAGGUUAUGACAGUCAUCAAUUUUGCAUUGUAUUUUUCCAGACCUGUUCUUUGUGUUUAUAUAUGUAUUGAAAAUGUAUGGUCAUAAUUAUAUAUGUAUAUAUGUAUGGUCAUAAUACAUAUAUCGUAUGUAUUAUGUAUGGUCAUAAUUAUAGCUUUUAUAUGUAUGGUCAUAAUAAUAACUUUUAGAUCUUGGGGGAAUCUUAGACAUCACCUAAUCCCUGUUCUCCAUCCCUUCCCUAUUUUGUAAAUGAGGAAACAAGUCCCUGGUUAAGUGGCUUGCCCAAAUUAUCACAGCUGGUUAUUGACAGAACCAGGACAACAACCCAGGUCUUUGGACUCAAGACAGUACUCAUCUUACUAGAGCAAAUGAUAUUCUUAAGAAAGUAUUGUUGGGAGGAGGAAAAUUAGUUCCUUAGUUGCAUAAUUUUUCCUCUAAAGGUUUUUCUUUGAUGUUCUUGACUCGAAAUCCAACUUUGUGGUAUUUAAAAAAAAUCAAGAUCAAAAUUAAUAGAUGGAGCACCUUAAAGCGUAAUGCAGUUGACUUUGUAAUUAGCAGAGUUGAAAGUGAUGAGAAGAUCCUCUAAUUUUCUUUGUGCCUGCAGGAAGGUGGGAGUCAAUCAUUUUGACAAGUCUCCUGAAAAGAACAGCUAGCAGGAGCUGAACCCUUUUUCCAUUUGGUCUCGUGGCAAAGGCAGAGAUCACACCAGCAGCUCCACACAGUAUGAAAGACAAUUCUUUAUCUUAUUAUAUGCCGUGCUCACUAGUGCCCUCUGAACAGUCUUCUGGUACCUCUCUUUUGCCUAAAGACAAUGCCCCAUUUUCUUGGGAUUCCUUGGAUGAGGACGGAUUGGAUGACUCCUUGCUGGAGCUGUCUGAUGGGGAAGAUGAUGGCCAUUUCAGUUUCACGGAGGAAGAGAUUCAGGAACUCUUGAAGGAUGAUGACCUAUCAAAUGAGCACUUUUCUUGGGGAGGAGGCUUGCCUAACCAUGACAGCAGGAAUGUUGAGAAGGGAGGGAAAGGGAGUCAAAUUCCACUUGAUACUCCCCAAGAGAAAAAUUCAUUGUACAGCUUGGGACCAGAAGCUGAGACCACUAGCCUCUUCAAACUACCUCAACUAAAUACAUCAGUUGGUCAUGGACCAACUCCUCCUAAACCAUUGAACAGACGCUUUGCACUAGAAAAGAAUCUUAUAAAAGUUACAGUUGCACCAUUUGAUCCAACAGUUUGUAAUGUUGUACUUGAUAAGGACAAGACUGAUACAUCCAAAGUUACUGAAAAACCCUCCUCCCUUGGAGAAGAGAUGAGAGAAGAUGGUCUUAGCCUAAAUGAGAGCACAAUUUGCACAGAAUCUGAAGGGAUCAGCCUCAGUAACUCUGCCUAUGAUGGGUCCCCACUCCCUUUUUCAAACAGUAACUUUCAACAAACUGUCUCUGAUAAAAAUAUGUCUGACAGUAAGAAACCUACACCUGUAUUCUCUCAGAUCUUGGACCAUUCAGAAACUCCUAAUACAGGGUCAGCCUGGAGAAAUGGAUCACAUAAAUCAAGUUUUGAAAUGAGGUUUCCGGUUGUUUCCAGUUCAUCAAACAAAGAUGUUCUUGACAAGGAUUCUGGGAAGCUGAAGGUCCAUGAAAAAAGACUAGGCAAAGUCAUUCCUGUUCUGCAAACCAAAACAAGGACUAAUAUUCCGACGUUUUCACCAUCAGAUCUAGAAAAGCAGAAGCAAAGUUAUCUCAGGAAUGUCAUUGCUCAUAUAGAAGACCCAGUGGACUCUAACCAAGGAUGAAUGCCUAGAAGUGGAAUUGCUGGGUACCUUGGGGGAGCUGUGUGCCUUGAUGGGUCAAGUUCAUCACAUGCAGAACCCAAAAUGGCAGCAUCCUUCGGACCUCACCAGGCGAAACUACGCCCGGUUCCGACAGAAGUCUCUGCAAAGAUACAGUCUGACUCAGUGGGUUGACCAGAACAUGCGAAGCCACCAUCGGUUCCAGCGUCUACCAGAUUUCCCGUACAGUCCAUUUGUCUCCUCCCAUCAGCAGUGAAGGUCCCUAUCCAGGGUCCUGUCCAGAGCAGCGUCUCAUCUUCUGCUGUUUUGUGCUUUGUAGAUUUUGAAAUUUAUUUUUCACAACAUUUUAAUUUAAAGAACUCGUCACCUUUUGGAAAUGCCCAUUGCUGACUUGAAAUUUUUUGUAUAAGGUCCUUCCUGUUUAUGUGUGUGUAUGCAUUUAAGCAGUGUUGAGUUGAUAAUAGUUUUAAUUUUUUAAUUUAAAUUGAAGGUGGCUGCCGCCUGAAGGCCGGCAUUAAGUCAAAACACCCAGGAUCAAGCAAAACACCCACCUCUAUGCAGAGGUGAAGUCUACUUCUGGUGCCCAAAAGAAAUCAUCUUUUAAUCUCCUAUGAGGAAGAGAUUCUUUAUCAGGCUGCAAGCCAGUGUUAAUUAUUGCUGAUGACUUAUAAAUGGAUACAAGUCACUUUUAACAACGCCUCUUACCUUUUUUAUUUGAAUCUCCGAAUACCUGUCAGUAUUUUAAAGUUGGUAAUCCAGGACAUCUGAAGUAGUUGAAAGGACAAAUUAGAAGUGUAAAUCUUUUCUUCUUUUUGUACCUACUAGCUGCCUUUAUUUUUUGGCUUUUUUUUUUUCAUUCUUCAUUAAAUUUAUUUUGCACAAUAGUGUUUACAAAUCUUGUACAUCUUAACUCUAACAGAAGACUGGUGACUAACAACCCCUGUUGAUUUGUGAUCUUGUGACUGUCUGCCUUCUCUGCCUUUCUUCAAGGAUAUUCCUUCUUUUUUCCCCAGUGAACUUAGGGCUCUACUGGCAUAUUCCUGUAUCCUGUUAGACAUAGAUAUGCCUCUUAAGAACAGCCUUACUGUGCUUUUUAUUGAAGAGCCACCCACCCAGAGUCUUGACUCUAGGACAGGCCAGAAAGCAGUGCUAUUGAGAGGUGUCAGUUGGUCUUCAGUUUCAUCUGCUGAACUCCAGUUCAAGUAUGAGUUGACGUGUUAGUGAGCUUCCAUCCUGUGGGAGAGACUUUGGAGAAGCUGUCUUUUGUCUCCAUUAUUAGUUAAUAAGAGGUGCCUUUUGAUCCAGGAUCUCCUUACUUGGUCAAACCUCUGAUGUACAGUUUUACAAAACUACUAAAGUGAAUCUAAAAUAGUUUUGAUUAAGCCUGUGCACAAAGCAUUACCGGAUCUUAAGGGUAAUGCUAUAUGCAGCUAUCUUAAUGGAUGUCUUAGUUUGUUAUUCUCUUUACAGACAGCUCUAGACAUCUAUUGGGAGAUUUUGCAGUCUGGCAUUUGUGCUGUUGUUCACUCUGUGUGACGGUUGUACCUAGUUGCUAUAGCACACAGCCUGUGAUACUGGGCUCAUUGCCUCUGUCUGGUUUUGUUGUUCCAUCAGCCCCAUCUUUGUAUGCAAGUAACCCAUCUUAAACAUCCUGCCCUGCUUUAGAAACUGAUUUGGGAGAAACCUGGUCAUAGUUACCAGUAAACUUAGAUGGAUAUCCCUAAGUGUUAACUAUUUCUAUCCAGUCAAGGAUUCUCUUUUCCUUCGACAUCUGGUUUAGAGUCUGGGACCAAAAUGCAAAGGAGAAGUUCUGUUCAAAGGCAAGAGUCAAAAUCUGUUAUUUCAGUUGGCAUUUCCUAUAUCAGUCACUUCUCCAGGUUUCCGUAAAUUAGUAUGAUGGAGUGGGACAAACAUCCACCUUUGGAACUAUAGCAUAGUUAGAAUUAAUUGUUGCUGGAAUAAUUAGCAUUGCAGCUGUCUUGUUCCCCACAGAUAGCCAAGGAGUAAAGGGACAGCCUUUUGCUUAGGCAAAAGUCUAAGACUCAUGUUCCUGCCUCCCUGGUACAGGAGGGUUUAAGACUGAUGUGUAAUGGGAGCAUCGCCUUUGCCAAAUCAAAUGAGUGAUGGGUUAACGAGAAAAUGUGACAAUCACAUUUCCUCUUUGCUCAGAUAAUUCUGUUUUUCAAGCUUUAGCAGCUUAAUUAAAUCUGUUGGACUGGGGGAGGAGAGAACUGUUCCCUAGCGGUUAACAUGGUAUUCUUUAAGAAGAAAAACAAAGCCAAAGAAAACUCAUUAUCAGGCAUGUUCACCUUAAAGACGGUAGUGGGUAGAAUCUGGAGUUUUAAUCUGUUUUUAAAAGCUACAUAUCUCACAUUUAGUGUUGGCCUCUAAGUCUAAUUUUCAUGUAGAAUUCUUGCCGUGUUUUAUUUACAUAAGCGUUGUGUGCAUUUAACUGCCUACCUAGCUUUCUUUAUCUGUGAUGACAUUCUCGCCACGGGGGUCUUGACAAUGCAGAGUAGGAAUGUGCUGUUUACAUAGUUUACUUGUAUAUAAAGAGCCUGAAAUAACCUUAGUUUUGCAUCUAAUGCAGGCCCCAGUUUACUUUGGUUGUUGUCAGGAUCAAUUAUGAAAGUGAAGUUUGGUGCCUCCUCUUUAUCAUGUAUUUCUCCUUGUAGCAGUUGUAUUUAAUGUCAUUGCAAAGAAAUAAAAGUUCUUGUCGGUG